rnacentral:rRNA from 1 species
UACAGAGGUCUCAAGCGUUGUUCGGAUUCAUUGGGCGUAAAGGGUGUGUAGGUGGCGCGCUAAGUCGGGUGUGAAAUUUCGGAGCUUAACUCCGAAACUGCAUUCGAUACUGGCGUGCUUGAGGACUGGAGAGGAGACUGGAAUUUACGGUGUAGCGGUGAAAUGCGUAGAUAUCGUAAGGAAGACCAGUGGCGAAGGCGGGUCCUG